GUCAUUUUCACCAAGUUCUUAAAGCAAUUAUAUCAUUAGAAGAAGAACUUUUGGUGCAACCCGAUGGUUCUACAAUUCCCUCAAAAAGUUUGCAUAGUGGAGGAAGAUUAUAGCCAUACUUUCAGAUGGACACAAAAGUGCAAGAUAAAAUUGAAAAUACUUCAAUUGGAAAAACUGAAAAGUAUUUCAAGCGGCCACGAGAGAUGGACCAACUUCUUCUUGAUCUUUUGGAAAAGGAAAAAACUAAGGGCAAUAAGGAGGAGAUAAAAUUUAACAAGAAUGCUUGGAAUACGGUUAUUAUUUCUCUUAAUAUUGAAUUUCAAAAGAUAGAAAAGACAAUUGAUAAGGCAAAAACAGUUAAUAGAUUAAAAACUAUUCAAAAACUAAUGUAUUUAGCUAUUGAGCUUUUUGGAUAAGAAGAGUGGGUUUGGAUGGAAUGAUAUUACAAAGAAGAUUGAAGCUACUCCAAGUGUUUGGAACAGUGUGAAGAGAAGAUUGUCCAAGUGUUUGGGACAGAGUGAAGAUUGAAGAUUGUGCUAAUGUUAUUGCUAUAUCUAAAAUAAAAGUUGUCAUUUCUCUU